rnacentral:tRNA from 1 species
GAUAGGGUAGCCUAGUGGACAUGGCAUCUGCCCGGUAAGCGGAACACUGCGGGUUCGAUUCCCAUCCCUGGACA